ACUACACUGAAAAAAAUGGACUUGGUGGGUCUUUGAAUUUAAAUAAAAUAAACAUGUAUAUGCAACACAAAAUAUUUAUAUUCCUUGUGUAAACAUAAUUUAAUUGAUUAGGAUGAAAAUGUUUUGUUUGAAUGUAAAAUGAACACAUUAUUCUCACAUUGAUUAAAAUUGAUUGAAUUGAAUACUUAAUGCAAUAAAAUUGAGUUUGCAUACAAAAUGGCACCUCCUGAGCAGCAGGGGCAGUAUAGCUCAAUGAAAAGGACGUCAACUGCCAUAAAAGAAGAAUAAACAUCGUUUGUUUUGGGCGCCAAAAUGAGCAGCAGUCAGUCAGAAGAACUCUCUCAGACGGACACCACGUUAUUAAAGUCCAUCAUCCUUGCACACACUCAAAAGCAUUGAUAAAUGCUGAAUUUAAAAGAAUCACUACUGUCUAAUGUUCCUGCGUGUCACCUGGACCUCCAAUCCAAAAACCUGAUGAAGCUCUUCUAUCAGAAAGCAGGACAGCUAGCAAAAAGACUUGGAACAAUCAAUGAUCAAAUGACAGAAGGCAUGGAUGAAGUCAGCAUCAGUGAGGUCAUUUGAAGACACCAAUGUUGGGAUUUGUGCUCUCAAACAACAUGCUUCUUGUGAUGAAGAAGAGGAUCUUUGUAUAGUCCUGGAAGGCAUGAAGGUGUUGCAACAUCGUGCCAUGUUGUUUAAGCUGAU